rnacentral:rRNA from 1 species
UACGGGGGGAGCAAGCGUUGUUCGGAAUUACUGGGCGUAAAGGGCGCGCAGGCGGCUGCUCAAGUCAGGCGUGAAAGGCCUGGGCUCAACCCGGGAAUUGCGCUUGAGACUGGGCUGGCUUGAGUGCGGGAGAGGAUGGUGGAAUUCCCAGUGAGAGGUGAAAUUCGUAGAUAUUGGGAAGAACACCGGUGGCGAAGGCGGCCAUCUGGACCGCAACUGACGCUGAGGCGCGAAAAGCGUGGGGAGCAAACAGGG